rnacentral:rRNA from 1 species
UACGUAGGGGGCAAGCGUUGUUCGGAAUUACUGGGCGUAAAGGGCGCGUAGGCGGCACAGCAAGUCGGGAGUGAAAGCCCGGGGCUCAACCCCGGAAUGGCUUUCGAAACUGCUGAGCUAGAGUACAGAAGGGGCAACCGGAAUUCCCAGUGUAGCGGUGAAAUGCGUAGAUAUUGGGAAGAACACCUGGGGCGAAGGCGGGUUGCUGGGCUGAUACUGACGCUGAGGCGCGAAAGCCAGGGGAGCAAACGGG